CGGAGGGCGCAGCUACACAUGCAGUCGAGCGAGAACUUCGGUUCUAGCGGCGGACGGGUUAGUAACGCGUGGGAACGUGCCCUUCACUACGGAAUAGUCCCGGGAAACUGGGUUUAAUACCGUAUACGCCCUUCGGGGGAAAGAAUUUCGGUGAAGGAUCGGCCCGCGUUAGAUUAGAUAGUUGGUGGGGUAACGGCCUACCAAGUCUACGAUCUAUAGCUGGUUUUAGAGGAUGAUCAGCAACACUGGGACUGAGACACGGCCCAGACUCCUACGGGAGGCAGCAGUGGGGAAUCUUAGACAAUGGGCGCAAGCCUGAUCUAGCCAUGCCGCGUGAGUGAUGAAGGCCUUAGGGUCGUAAAGCUCUUUCGCCAGGGAUGAUAAUGACAGUACCUGGUAAAGAAACCCCGGCUAACUCCGUGCCAGCAGCCGCGGUAAUACGGAGGGGGUUAGCGUUGUUCGGAAUUACUGGGCGUAAAGCGCGCGUAGGCGGAUUGGAAAGUUGGGGGUGAAAUCCCAGGGCUCAACCCUGGAACUGCCUCCAAAACUAUCAGUCUAGAGUUCGAGAGAGGUGAGUGGAACUCCGAGUGUAGAGGUGAAAUUCGUAGAUAUUCGGAAGAACACCAGUGGCGAAGGCGGCUCACUGGCUCGAUACUGACGCUGAGGUGCGAAAGUGUGGGGAGCAAACAGGAUUAGAUACCCUGGUAGUC
rnacentral:rRNA from 1 species